rnacentral:misc_RNA from 1 species
AAGUCGUAACAAGGUUUCCGUAGGUGAACCUGCGGAAGGAUCAUUAUUACGAGAUUAAAAAAUCGUAACGAUCAACUCAAUUGUGCAUUUUGUACCAUUCCGGUAGCAUUUGACCUUUGUUUGAAGGCUUCUUUGAUAUGCGCACAUGCAAAUGUGUGUUUAUUCAAAGCACUUCUGAGCAGAUGAAGUGAAACACUUUCAAGUGUUUAGUUCCUUUGUCAAAUGUUUCAACUACCGGUUAUCUAAUCUGCUCACGUUAUUUAUUAAACCAUUAACCCCAUGUAAUUUAUUAUGAACUAACAAACAUCUGCUACAUGACACGUCCAACGACGUGUUAUUUAGCUGAAUCAAAAAACCGAACUUAAGAACAACUCUUAACAACGGAUAUCUUGGUUCUC